AUCUGCAGCCCUACCACCCUGAACGUGCCCAAUCUUGUCUGAUCUCGAAAGCUAAGCAGGGUUGGGCCUGGUUAGUACUUGGAUAGAAGACAGAUCUUCAAAAGAGACUGCUCAGAGA
rnacentral:rRNA from 1 species